GAGUCCUUCACCCUCUGCACCAGGAACAGCCCCAGUGGUGGUGGGGAGGGGUCUCGCCUCCAAUCAGCCUCCUGGAGCCGGGUGUUCCAAGGGCUCAGGUGAGGCACCAAGAUCACGUGCACCCCCGCCCAUGAAGGCCAGCUGGUCACCAGCACCAGUCUCUCCGGAUGGUUCCCGGGCUGCCCUGAGAGGCUUCCCCAACCCCACCGUGAACAUGCCCCUUCUACCUCCUCUUCCAGGUGCUAAAGACAGCAACAUGGACACCAAGGGACAUCCAGGUCACCUUCCAUCUGGGGACUCUCAGAGAGACUGAUGCCGAGCGAAGGAUCUACCGCAGGUUCCAGCUCACCCCGAGCUGGGCACAGCACAUGGGAGGUAAUAUCUGCAGAUUACUGUUCUGGGCGUUAGGACUCCUAUAAAGACCCACUUCUGAAUGAUCACAAAUGGCCCCGUGGACAGUGGCUGACUCCGGACAGAUGGAUGAGCUGACCACGGCCACAUGAGGAGGGUCCAACCAAGGAGCAGUAGGUAGAUGUGUGUGGAGGAGCUUCUGGGAGGAGCCCUCUGGAAAAGCUGACUCAGCUGAGAUGUAUGCCCCUUUGGGACUUGAAUAUGAUGUCUGGUGCCUUUGCAGCCACCCUGGACCAUGGAGGAUCAACACCGGCAUAAGGGUAAAUAGCAGGAAGAUUCCCAAGCAACCAAGGAAAACAAACAGCAGCUGACCCUCCCUGGAGCCCUCAGCAGGGACAGGGCCACUUCAUAUUGACACUGCACAGAAGGGGCCUGAGCCUCUCCCCUGCACAGGAUGGGACUCGGGACCCACUCCCUGUACCCUGCAUGCCACACACAGAUGGGCUUUCCCUCCCUGUACACGGGGACUUCCACCCAAGACGAUGAAGCGUCAUAUUUAUAUCCUCUGGGGCUGAGAUUUGCCAGUUUAAACUUGUCCCAAUUUGGAAGCUGUGUGUUCUGUUGCUUAGCUACCUCCAUCUAAAAGCAGAACGUACAAGAUCCAUACAUGAUAGCCACCAUUUUGCCUGAUCCGUGCUGGCCUUGCCUGCCCCGGCCUUUGCAGGACUACCAGGCCCCUCCCUUUAGGGCUGAGGUUGAUUUCUGCCCACAAUACCACACAGAGCCUGCUCACAGCACUGCCUCGUGAGCUCCUUCGCAUUUUUGCAACAAAUCCUUGAAAGUGCCCUCAUAAAUCUUGGUGGUCUUCUUGACCUUGGAGGCUCUGCAGUGUUCACAGGCAGACCCCUCACCACAGUGGUGAAGCAGGAGGUGGUGCCACGCCAAGAGCUCAGGAAGGUGCAUCUGUGCAGAACAGACCUGAUCUCCACUUGCCCUGAGAUUUCUAAACAAAGAGAGACCGGAAGCCCCAGCAACGGUCCCCCUGGAGGGCUGGGAAAGUCAGUCGGAUAAAUCUGCAGCAUCAAAAAAAGGAAGAAAAUCAUAAAUUGCUAAAUGCCAACAGCUUCUGUUCUUGGGAUCUCGGAAUCCAAAGAAGGCUAUAGAUGGCAGAGCCCUGCAUGCCUCAGCUGACGUGUGGCCAGUACCGGUACAGCACCGGCCCAACCAGGGUCUCAAUCUGUUGCCCGGGCUGGAGUGCAAUGGCACCAUCAUAGUUCACUGCAGCCUCUAACUCCUAGGCUCAAGCCAUCCUCUCUCCCUCCUGAGCCUCCCAAGUAGCUGAGAUCACAGGUGUGCACCACCAUGCCUAGCUGUUUUUAAAUUUCUAUUUUUUGUAGAGAUGGAGUCUGGCUGUGUUGCCCAGGCUGAUCUGGAAAAUAGCAGGAAGAUAAGAGGGAGGUGCCUCAGUCCCGUGGGCAGUUGGUGACUCAGGCACCUUCCUCUUAUCUGCCUGUGGGCACCCAGGUCUGGUGACCAGCCUGGGCAACACAGCAAGUGAUCCUGGACUCAAGCGAUUCUCCUGCCUCGGCUUCCCAAAGUUCUGGGAUUGCGGGAAUGAGCCACUGCGCCCAGCCCCCACCAUUCUCAAGAGUCCUCUUCACUCCAGGCACGAUCAGACUCAGCAGAGGCUCCGGAACCUGCUUUAGAUGUGGGCUUCAUUCCCUUCAUAGGCCAAGCCCCCAGACGUCAAGGGGAUUGAGAGCCCAAGUUCCCCGAGUGUCUCCUAGGGAGCAAAGAUGGGGCAAAUUCGUGAUUAUGGAAAUGAUGAAAAUGAUGAUGAGGAUAAAAAUGUUGACAAAGUUGUUGCUAAAGAUGAUGGAAAGAUAAUGAGGAAGAAAAAGAUGAAAAUGACAAAGAUGAUGAUAAACAAGCAGUGAAGGUGAUGAUAGUGAUGAAGAUAAAAUGAUGACAAUGAAAAGAUGCCGAAGCAGAAGAAAAGGAUCUGAAGAAGAUCAAGUUGGUGAAGCAAAGGGAAUGGUGACACCAAUAACUGGUCAUGUUUAGGAGAUGCCUUCCCAUGCAGUUUCCCCUUCGUCCCUGCAGCAGUAGCUGCAAAAUCACCGAGUACCCACAGGACUCAGUACCAUUCUAGGGACUGGAGAUACAGCUGAGAGGGAGAGGCUUCUUUUUGGAGUGAGGAAAAUAUCUUAAAAUCGAUUGUGCUGAUGGAAAUACAACUCUAUGAGUAUGUUGGAAGCCCUGAAUUGGACACUUAAAGUGCGUGAAGCAUGUGGUGUGUGAAUUAUGUCUCAACAAAGCUGUUAAAACUGAAAGAGACAAAUUCCCUAUCCUCAUGGAACUCAGAUUUCUUCCUUUUCUUCCUGGAGAGCUUCCUCUCUGCCAGGCAUGAUUCCAGGCAUUCUACGUGUGACGGCUCAUUGCAUCCUUCCCGUGGCCCCAAAAGACAGGCUCUGUUGUAGUCACAUCCCUUUUACAGAGGAGGAAAGUAAGGCGCAUGUCAGGAGGUGACUUCCCCAUGCCCACAUGCUGGAAAACUGCAGAGCUGGCUGGGAACCGAGGCAUUCUGUCCAUCCUGACUUCUCAGCGGUGCACUGUGCGGCUUCCUUAGAGCAAGGGUGGAGCUGAGAGGGCCGCACACAAGGGCCCCCUCACAUAUGCGAGGAAGGAGACAGGUUCGCUGAGGCUCCCUAGGAUACUGACAGUGGUAGCCCUGGAGGCUUCCGCUGCUGACAGUCACUUUACAGGAUGACCCAUUUAUUUUCCCUGCUAACUCAAGAGUUGAAAAUCCCCUUAACCUCAGUGUAAAGAAACAUGUACUUCUCCCAAUACAAGUGCAUAAGUGACUUCACAUCAGAGGUGGCCAGUGGGUGGUCCCGGGCCAAAUCUGGUCCACAAAUAUGUUUUCUGGGUGCACACAUUGCUUUUAAAAAUAGGAAGAGGCUCUCAACAUUUACAUGAAGGCUAUUUCACCAAAAAAAUCAAAUCUUCGGUUUCUCUUGGAAAUUCUGGCCACAAUGGCCUGACAUGUGGCCAGGGGUGAUGGCCCACAGGAUCUGAGUGACAGCUGCCCUCUUGAGCAAGAGUGCACACUCCCCAGGAUGCCACAGCCCUGCCUGGCCCAGGUCACUUAUGGAGCAUUUGGGUCUGUGACUUCUACUCUGUUGAAUGAGCUGUGAAGACACCAUCCCCCACCCGCCUCCUGUGGCGAGUCAUGGGUUAAUACUAUUGGUCUUACUCAUUCCGAUAAAGCUUUCUCUCCUAUUCCUCCUGACAAGUGCUCAGAAAGCUUUAGGAGUAGCUUGUUUCCACCAGAGACUUCCUUCCAGUGAGGGUGAAGUGGAGGCUUCUGGAGUAUCCUCACCUGAGGGCCUAAGGACCUGCAGCUCAGAAAUAGCCCAGGCUGGUCAGCAGCCAGACGGCAGUGGUGUCGCCAGAAGCGUAUGCAGACCCUGGCCUGGAGACAGCACAGAACCAGUCUCCAAAAUUGGCAAUGGCCACUGAGGUCCUGAGGGCUCACACUAUUCACAAAUACACUUCUGAAUAGGUUGGUUAUAAUCAAUGUAGUAAAUGGAAUCAUUGCUUAAAUGUAUCCAAAGAGCCCACUAUGCAAAGAGAGAUAUUCAUUCAAUAAACACUUAUUGUACUGAACUAAACUCUUAUUUUAUUGAAAUAAACUCUUAGGAAAU
rnacentral:lncRNA from 10 species